rnacentral:lncRNA from 1 species
UGCUGCGCCUGAGCCCCAAGACCCCGCACCUGGGCGCGCGCUCUGGCGCAGUGCCUGGUGCGAUGUCCGCGUCAGCCUCUCUCCUCCGGGAGAGGCAGGGAGUGUGACGCCCAUUUUACCAGCGGGCAAACUGUGGCUUAGGGAUGCUGGGUGAUUUGCCCGAGGACGCACACAGAGGGAAGGGCCAAGCCGGGAUUCCAACUCGGGACUCCCCGCUUCUGGGGAGACCGGUGAGGCCCCCGCGACAUGGCCCUCCCAUCCCCAAGCCUCUCGUGCAGAUCUCCGCUCUGUGGGACUUGAUUGCGGGCUGCGGGCCCGUGGCUCCUGCAGGCAGAGAGAGGACGGGAGAGGAGACGGCUACGAGGCUUGGCCGCAGAGAAUGAGAAGGCAGAUCAAAGUUACAGAUGCUGCGAGAACAUCGCCAAGCAGAAUCUUGGGUGCUGUCCCCACCUCUCUGUACCUGCUCCCUCCCAGAGAAGCCAGCCUCCACUUGCUGUCCCGGGCCUUCUCUAUCUGAGAAAAGUUGAAGGAGCACAUGUCCUUGCGCAGGAAGAGGCUGUUCAGCGUGACCGCCCCGAUCAAGAAGAAGAGCUGCUUCACCGCCUGCCUCACAAGCUCGGGGUCCAGGCCGUUCUGGCACAUGGUGGUGUAAAAGUAGCUCAGCUGUUGCAGGACGGAGGUCAUGGUGUAGCCGUCCGUGUCGUCUAUGCUAGAGGAGCGCUUCCGGAAGCCUGUGGGCUUCAGGCCGGAAAUGCCCUGCAGGCUCUCAUACUCCAGCAUUCCCGGAACUGCGGAGAGACAGGGAGGCUGUGCUGACACGCCAGGAGACACACGCGGAACGUUCCCGACGCUCUUCGGUUUGUUUCAGGAGAUGGGACAUUUUUCUACAAGAGUCAGUGGAUGUACUUAUGAUAGAGAAAGCAAAAGAAUCAAGGGUUUGGGACACCAGGGUGUGUGUCAGGGUUAGGGAUGGACGGCUGUUUCCAGCGGGGCUGCAGCUCCUCUUGUAGGUUUGAAGCAGCACGUUUUUCAGCUUCACAGGAAAGAAAGCUGCUUAGCAUGACAAAUCAUGGCCUGGGCAUUAAAGCCUAAAGUAUUUAAAUUUCAGGAAAUUAAGGAAAGUAUACAAGAAUUCGAAUGGGGCUUUAGGAUUUCAAAAAUACUUGGCUACGCCAAGAAGUAGAAGUACCACAUAAAUAGCAGUAGUAGAAGUUUCCCCAAGUUUUUUCCUUCAGGAUAAAUCAUCCUUAUAUAAAGAAAACUACCAACAGCGUACUAUUAUUUAUGGAAUCAUUAUAAGCAAGCAAAGAAUUAAAAGGCAGAUAUCUACAUGAUUAUAUUUCCUUGGCUUUUUAAACAAUGUUACACAUAAUCACACAUUACACAUACCAAGUUUAUGUUUUAAAAAGUCUUAAUGUUACUAUAAAUAUUUUUUGGUCAUCCAUUCUCUUCUUACCUAUUAUCGGUUGGAUAUUCUUUUCCAUUAUGAUAAUAAAUUGAUGAUAUAUUCGUAUAGCCAC